rnacentral:rRNA from 1 species
UACGGAGGGGGCUAGCGUUGUUCGGAAUUACUGGGCGUAAAGCGCACGUAGGCGGCUUUGUAAGUUAGAGGUGAAAGCCCCAGGGCUUAACCCUGGAAUUGCCUUUAAGACUGCAUCGCUAGAAUCGUGGAGAGGUGAGUGGAAUUCCGAGUGUAGAGGUGAAAUUCGUAGAUAUUCGGAAGAAACACCAGUGGCGAAGGCGGCUCACUGGCCCGAUACUGACGCUGAGGCACGAAAGCGUGGGGAGCAAACAGG